ensembl:lncRNA
CCAACCCUUUUGUGAUACCACCGACUGUAGCCUGCCAGGCUUCUAUGUCCGUGGGAUUUCCCAGGCAAGAAUCCUGGAGUGGGUUGCCAUUUCCUUCUCCAGGAGAUCUUCCUGGACUAAGGAUCAAACCCGUAUUUCCUGCAUUGGCAGGUAGAUUUUUUAGCGCUUAGGAAGCCACCCUGGUAAAGAAUUUGCCUGCUAGUGCAGGUGGCGCAGGGGCCUCAGGUUUGAUCCCUGGGAGGGAAAGAUCCCCUGGAGCAGAAAAUGGCAACCUACUCCAACAUUCUUGCCUGGAAAAUUCCAUGCACAGAGGAGCCUGGUGGGCUACAGUCUAAGGGGUCACAAAGAGUCAGACACUACUGAAAUGCGCACUCACAGGCAGAAAGCUUUUCAGCUGGGGCUCUUUAAAAGGAAACGUCAACAAGAGACAACUGGCUAACGUGCAGUGCGUGUCAUUCAAGAGUAACUCAGAUGAGGGCUUAGAAUUCCGGCUUACAGAGAGUCUUCAGCGGAGACCAGCACAUUUGUGGAGAAGUGACAAGACAGAGGAAAGUGAUUUUAGGCUUCCAAGGACUGCACACUGGGAAGAGAGGAAGACAUGAGAUUCCUGGUGCUGUGUCCUUUAUUCUCCUCACCCUGGAAGAAUCCACCAUGUCACAUGGAUCGGUUUGCUUUGAAUCCCGUCUGUUUAAUUGUGUCCUUCAGCAGUUAUUAAUUGAACAUCUACUCUGUGUCAAGAACUGUGCUGUGUGUGUAUUUACUAAGGGUCAUGUUUAUAACUGGAAACAAUGGGGAAGUGGUCUCUGAUCUCAUGCAGUGUUCAUCCUAACAGGUAAGGCAAUUGAGGACUUCUCCGCUAUCUGCUAACCUAAAGCUUGUGCUUUGGUUUCAUUUAGCGCACAACAGAUGAAAUAAUGCUUAAGUUAUACUGUUUAGAUUACUGUAGCUUUGUAGUAUAGUCCAAGCCAGGCUUCAAUAGUAGAUAAACCAUGAAAUUCCAGAUGUUCAAGCUGGAUUUAGAAAAGGCAGAGGAAUCAGAGAUCAAAUUGCCAACAUCUGCGGAAUCAUAGAAAGGCAAGAGAGUUCCAGAAAAACAUUGACUUCUGCUUUAUUGACUAUGCCAAAGCCUUUAACUGUGUGAUCACAACAAACUGUGAUUCUUCAAGAUAUGGGAAUACCAGACCACCGUACCUGCCUCCUGAAAAAUCUGUAUGCAGGUCAAGAAGCAACAGUUAGAACGAUACAUGGAACAACAGAUUGAUUCCAAAUUGGGAAAGGAGUACAUCAAGGCUAUAUAUUGUCACCCUGCUUAUUUAACUUAUAUGCAGAUUACAUCAUGUGAAAUGAUGGGCUGAAUGAAGCGCAAGCUAGAGUGAAGAUUGCUGGAAGAAAUAACAAUAACCUCAGAUAUGCAGAUAACAUCACCCUUAUGGCAGAAAGCAAAGAGGAAGUAAAGAGCCUCUUGAUGAAAGUGAAAGAGGAGAGUGAAAACUCUGGCUUAAAACUAAACGUUC